AACUAAAGCACACAGUAGAACUCGAUCACUGAAUAGUGAGGAGCUGUUGGGGCAGUUACCUGCACUGCAACAACUCCUAUAUCGUCUUAUUGCUUGUCAGCCUGAAGGAUGCUCUUAUAGCAACUACCUAGUGCAGUAUGCAUUGGCCCUGGUUUUGAAAGAAAGUUUCAAAAUAUAUUGUGCACUCAAUGAUGGAAUCAUCAAUCUCGUGGAUAUGUUCUUUGAUAUGACAA
rnacentral:sRNA from 1 species